GGCGGGUGUGGUGGGUAUCUCUAGUACAUUGAACGAAAGACUCGGCAGAUCUAAAUUGCUUCUUGUCUCUAUCUUCUCUUCUCUGUCUCUUUCGUCUUCUCUACAUCCGGCUGAGUCUGGCUACCAUCUGUUGAAAACAACAUUAAUCAUAUAGUUCUGAAUGAGCUUCAUCAUAUAGAAGGCUGGUUCUCGCCAAUCUCAGUCGGAUCGUCCUCUCUUUCGUACUGUGUGAUUGGUUCUUCAUUUCUCCUUGCAGUACUCCUCGAUCUGAAAGUGUAGUUUUAGAUCGGUCGCAAUUUGUUUCAUUCCUCGAUUUUUCUGUUCGGCAAUAUUCUGGAAACCCGAGUACGAAUCGAAACGGAAGGAUCUCUGUUGCUUUAAAUCACCUGUUCGAACUAAAAAGAGCAACUCAAACAUCGAAUGAAAUCUACCAGAUAAGUUAUUUUUUUGCCAGGUAUCUAAUGUGUAUAAAUCUGUGUUAAUUUGUGAAAUUCAAAUGUUUAAUUUUACUCAUUUAUUAUUGUUUGUGUGAUUUACAUUUUUUUAGACUUCUGAUUGAAAUCUUCAUAUACAUAUCGAAAGGACAAAUCACCAUACAAAGGGGCAAAAUAGCUAAGUUUUGAUUUUAGGUUAUUUUUUAUCUUACUUUUUUUACAUUAUUCCAGACUAAUUCCUGAGGCAUAAAGGUAGCAAUCUAGCAAUUGAUUUUCAGUUUGAACAUGCUCAUGAAGAUCCAUAGAAAUAGGUAGCUUAAAAAAUGUUUAGUGCUGAUUUUUCUUUUUCCACCAAUAACUGUUGAUGAAGUAAUCUUCCGCAUGUCUUUAAGCAGAAUUCUGUUUGUAAGGACUGUACAGAAUUUUUAAUGGUAAAACAACCAAAUGUUAUUUGCAUUGUUAGCAUAUGUGAAUACUGAUUGGGCCUUAAAGGGCUGUCAUGAAUACUCUUUUUGGGAAGAAUAAAAGACUUGUUAUCUCAUUCUGCUUUGAAAACACAAAUUUGUCUUUAUAAGCCUAAUAUGAUUAUUACUUUACUGUCUAGAUUGACUAACAUUUUGAAAUCCAAGAAAUGGCAAGUGAUGAAUCAAAUGAGUUCUGAUGCCCAGAUAUGUAUCAAUACAACUGAUUGGUGUUGGAGUGUUAAACAUGGCAUUAACAACCGAAAUAUUUGCCACUGUUUCCUUCCAAUGGUGGUGUAAAGUAACAGUUUGUGUACAAACUUAUUUUGUGAUGCAUAAUAUAAUAGUGUUUCAUGCUUAUAAUUUCAUUUAAUUAUGCAAAACAUUUGCCAAGCAAGGGAUUUUUAAUAUAAUAGUGUUGCCUGUUAAGCAGAUUUGAUUAACUUAGGAUUUAAAUUUCUGUUAAGCAGAUUUGAUUAACUUGAAAAACAGAUGGUCAUAGUGGAAAAUUACAGAUGGGAAAAGCUGGUCAUUUGAUGGACCACAGCAGAUUGGAUAAUUAAAAACAUUUGGUUAUUUUGGAAGAUUGCAGAUUUGGAAAAGGUAAAUUUCAAUUGUUUAUAUUAUCCCUAGACAUUUGCAUUGAUGAUUUUACAGCCUAGAUUUGUCCAUCCUAGCUAAAAUUAAUAACAGAAAAUCAGUAGGUUUAUAUGGCCAAUUUCUAAAUAGAUAAAACUAGAAUACCAAAUUAAUGUUCGAAUAAUUGAGUAAUUACAUCUACAUACAAUAUUAAUGUUUGAAUAAUGAAAUGACCAAUACUAAACUAUUUGACUAAUUAUACAUGAUCUUCCUUAGUAACCACAACCGUAAUACCUCAAUGUAGUUUAAUUCCUGCAAUCCAAUAAAAGUCAAUUUGAACUGCAUUUUGAGAGUCCUCUUCACAGUUAGUGAACUGGGUUCCAAUAAAAUAACCUCAUUCUAUUGAAACAGUAAUAGCAACAUCAACACCAAAAAACAACUUAAAAAAUAUCCAAGAAUAUAGAAUGACCAAUAGAGAAUAUAUAAGUACUAUUAGCACUGCAUACACUUUACCUGCUCUAGUAUUUGUUGUUCUGCCUUCUUCACUAUUCUGUUUCCUGACUAUUGCAUACAAAAUGAAUAGUGGAGCCAUUUGAAGAUUUUCAAAAUCAGAAAAUUAGAAAGAAAAUUGGAUCAAACCUAACUUCAAAGGGAGAAUGGUGGUAGAGAAUGAAUUGAAGAUGUCGUACCAAGUAUUUAUAGAGCCAAGUUUAGAAGGCUAAAAUCUACCCAACUUUACGCAUGUUUGUAUUUGUAUUUAGAAGGAAUGAAAUAGAAGGAUUAAAAUAGGUUUAAAAUUACCUGGACUGAGGUACUCGGACUGAGGCAGACCUUAAUGAAGAGCAGCGACCAAACAAAGAAAGAACAAACACGUAGAGGGGAGCCAUUUUCAGGCGGAGUAGAUGGCAAAUAAAGAACAAACACGCAGACCUUAAUUCGCAAAAUGGCUGGUUAGUAGCCAUAAUUUAUAGAACAGAGUUAAGCUGAAGAGUUCAAAUCAGAUUUGGAGGAUUUAGAAUUCCAAGAAAACUCAACAAUUACUGAAGAGCAAUUAUGGGUUUGCACCGGAAAAUGAAACGUCAAAAUAGAAAAGCUGCAAAGUGUUUUGAAUUCAUCUCUAUUGAUAUGUAUUUAUUUAAUCUGAGUUUCGAUUUUGAUAUGUAUUCGCAAUAGUGUAUGUAUAAAAUCAUUUAAUGCAAACGGUGGCCUUCAACUU